rnacentral:rRNA from 1 species
UGGGGAAUCUUGCGCAAUGGGCGAAAGCCUGACGCAGCAACGCCGCGUGAACGAUGAAGGCCUUCGGGUCGUAAAGUUCUGUCAGGGGGGAAGAAGAUCUGACGGUACCCCCGGAGGAAGCCCCGGCUAACUUCGUGCCAGCAGCCGCGGUAAUACGAAGGGUGCGAGCGUUAUUCGGAAUAACUGGGCGUAAAGGGCGCGUAGGCGGUUUUCUAAGUUGACGGUUAAAAGCCAUGGCUUAACCAUGGAGAUGCCGGCGAUACUGGAAUGACUAGAGGGUAGUAGAGAGGAGUGGAAUUCUCGGAGUAGCGGUAAAAUGCGUAGAUCUCGAGAGGAACACCGAUGGCGAAGGCAGCUCCUUGGGCUACAACUGACGCUAAGGCGCGAAAGCGUGGGGAGC